rnacentral:rRNA from 1 species
CAGCUCGUGUCGUGAGAUGUGGUAAGUCCGCAACGAGCGCAACCCUCGACCUUAGUUGCCAGCAUUCAGUUGGGCACUCUAAGGUGACUGCCGGCUAAAAGUCGGAGGAAGGUGGGGAUGACGUCAAAUCAUCAUGCCCCUUAUGACCUGGGCUACACACGUGCUACAAUGGGCGGUACAAAGGGUCGCGAACCCGCGAGGGGGAGCCAAUCCCAAAAAGCCGCUCUCAGUUCGGAUUGCAGGCUGCAACUCGCCUGCAUGAAGCCGGAAUCGCUAGUAAUCGCGGAUCAGCAUGCCGCGGUGAAUACGUUCCCGGGCCUU